rnacentral:rRNA from 1 species
UAGGGAAUUUUCCACAAUGGACGAAAGUCUGAUGGAGCAACGCCGCGUGAACGAUGAAGGUCUUCGGAUUGUAAAGUUCUGUUGUUAGGGACGAAACCGUACCGUUCGAAUAGGGCGGUACCUUGACGGUACCUAAUUAGAAAGCCACGGCUAACUACGUGCCAGCAGCCGCGGUAAUACGUAGGUGGCAAGCGUUGUCCGGAAUUAUUGGGCGUAAAGCGCGCGCAGGCGGUUAUGUAAGUCUGAUGUUAAAGGCCGAGGCUCAACCUCGGUUCGCAUUGGAAACUGUGUAACUUGAGUGCAGAAGAGGAAAGUGGUAUUCCACGUGUAGCGGUGAAAUGCGUAGAGAUGUGGAGGAACACCAGUGGCGAAGGCGACUUUCUGGUCUGUAACUGACGCUGAGGCGCGAAAGCGUGGGGAGCAAACAGGAUUAGAUACCCCGGUAGUCC